rnacentral:rRNA from 1 species
UACGUAGGGUGCAAGCGUUGUCCGGAAUUAUUGGGCGUAAAGAGCUUGUAGGCGGUUUGUCGCGUCUGCUGUGAAAUUUCGGGGCUCAACCCCGAACUUGCAGUGGGUACGGGCAGACUAGAGUGUGGUAGGGGAGACUGGAAUUCCUGGUGUAGCGGCGAAAUGCGCAGAUAUCAGGAGGAACACCGGUGGCGAAGGCGGGUCUCUGGGCCGUAACUGACGCUGAGGAGCGAAAGCAUGGGGAGCGAACAGG